rnacentral:lncRNA from 1 species
UCCUCGAUGCCGCCGCGCCAAGCCCCUCUCCAUCGACCUCCGCGACCAGCGCCUCCACUACCUCCCCGUCGCUGCGCCGCCUCCUCUCGUCGCUGCCGCCUUCCGUUCCUCGUCACCGCGCCAGUAGCUGCCGCUGCCGUGGCCUCUCCAGCCUCCAGAAGCUCUGCUUCCCUUGCUCCACGCUAAGACCGACGCCGGCCCCACUUCGUCUUGCUGCUGUUCCGCCAUCGACCUCCUGUUGCUGCAGGAGCCUUCCCAUCGUGCACUGUGGCCGUUCUGUUUCUUCUCUCUCAAGGUCGAAAGGACACCAGUUACACGAGGCACGAAGAACCGCGACGAUCCCGGAGACUGGAUAGGUCAAGUACCAGGUCAACGAGGACCGCCAAGUUCAUCUACGGAACGUGCACAUCUACACCGCCAAGAUCGGAACGACAAUUACCUCGACGUUGCGUGUACCACUACCGUCGCCCCAAAGACCUCGGACCCGUCAAGUACCUCUUCGAAAACGAACGUGUGCCACUACUUCCACUACCGUCGCCGAAGACCCGCGUAACGGAACCGUCAAGUUCAACUACCUUCGUGUACCACUACUUCCCCUACGACACGUGAACAACUACUUCCACUACCGUCGAACCCGAGCCACUCCGAAAAUGCACGCUUCGAAGGUAUAACCGCUGAGACGACGCCCGUGAACGAAUGUUUGUGAUGUAUGAGUUGCUAGUGUUCGAACCGUGUCCCAGUUGUCGCUUGCGCGUUCCUCGUUUGCCAUGCCGCCGUUCCGUGGGAACCCGGUAACCGGGAGCACCCCACCAUUCUCUUGCGUGUUUCACACAUCCGCACAAUUCUCCUUGUGCCGGUAUCUCCGUGAGCUACCGGAACCGAUAUGUUGCCGUGGCACCAUUUUCGGAUUCGUUGCCGUGGCACCCUUUUUUCGUUCCACCACGGUAACAAAUGCUUCAUAACAUGCUCGUGUCCACGUUUUAUAAAAUUGCAUAUACCUUGCAUUGUCAUCCGCAUCAUGAUAACAACAUUUAAAUGUUUAAAAUUGUGUUUGCAUUUAAAUUGCUAAAUGACAUGAGGAUUUUCCGAAAUUAUUGUUUGUUGUUCCGGCCUCAUUUAAACUUGCCUAAAUAGAUAGUUUAUUAUGCUUCACCUCUUGCCAUGGUAAUCAACAUUUAAUAUGGUCGAGUACAUAAUGAGAGAGAACUAAAUAAUUAUAUGUGGUGUUUCGUCAAUAUGCAACUCGUUGCAUAUUGAGCUCCAUUUAAUUUGUAGUUUUGUUUGUUGCACUUUGCCAUGCCAUGCCUCAUUAAACCGGACAUGCAUCAUAUUUGUUUUUGCAUCAUGCCAUGUGUAUGUGGUGGUUGUUUACUAUGUUGUUUGUUUCUUUCCGGGUUGCUUCUCUCGUUAGCUUCGGUUUCUUUCCGGAGUUGUGAGGAUUCGUUCGACUACGUCCGUUUGUCUUCUUCAUGGACUCGUUCUUCUUCCUUGCGGGAUCUCAGGCAAGAUGACCACCCAUCGAAAUCACUUCUAUCUUUGCUUUGCUAGUUGCUCGUUCUAUUGCCAUGCUGCGCUACCUACCACUUGCUAUAUCAUGCCUCCCAUACUGCCAUGUCAGCCCCUAACCUUCUCACCCUUCCUAGCAAACCAUUGUUUGGCUAUGUUACCGCUUUUGCUCAGCCCCUCUUAUAGCGUUGCUAGUUGCAGGAGAAGUUGAAGAUUGCUCCAUGUUGGAUUCUAUUUAUGUUGGGAUAUCACAAUAUCUCUUAUCUUAUUUAAUGCAUCUAUAUACUUGGUAAAGGGUGGAAGGCUCGGCCUUAUGCCUGGUGUUUUGUUCCACUCUUGCCGCCCUAGUUUCCGUCAUACCGGUGUUAUGUUCCUUGAUUUUGCGUUCCUUACGCGGUUGGGUGAUUUAUGGGACCCCCUUGACAGUUCGCUUUGAAUAAAACUCCUCCAGCAAGGCCCAACCUUGGUUUUACCAUUUGCCUACCUAAGCCUUUUUUCCCUUGGGUUCUGCAGACUCAAGGGUCAUCUUUAUUUUAAACCCCCAGGCCAGUGCUCCUCUGAGUGUUGGUCCAACCUGUCAGUCGCCGGUGGCCACCAGGGGCAACUCUGGGCUGGCCUACCGGAAGCUUGGACAAUCCGGUGUGCCUUGAGAACGAGAUAUGUGCAGCUCCUAUCGGGAUUUGUCGGCACAUUCGGGCGGCUUUGCUGGUCUUGUUUUACCAUUGUCGAAAUGUCUUGUAACCGGGAUUCCGAGACUGAUCGGGUCUUUCCGGGAGAAGGUUUAUUCUUCGUUGACCGUGAGAGCUUAUAAUGGGCUAAGUUGGGACACCCCUGCAGGGUAUUAUCUUUCGGAAGCCGUGCCCGCGGUUAUGUGGCAGAUGGGAAUUUGUUAAUGUCCGGUUGUAGAGAACUUGUCACUUGACUUAAUUAAAAUACAUCAACCGCGUGUGUAGCCGUGAUGGUCUCUUCUCGGCGGAGUCCGGGAAGUGAACACGGUUUCUGGGUUAUGUUUGACGUAAGUAGGAGUUCAGGAUCACUUCUUGAUCAUUGCUAGUUCACGUCCGUUCCUCUGCUUCUCUUCUCGCUCUUGUUUGCGUAUGUUAGCCACCAUAUAUGCUUAGUCGCUGCUGCAACCUCACCACCUACCCCAUUCUUUCCUAUAAGCUUAAAUAGUCUUGAUCUCGCGGGUGUGAGAUUGCUGAGUCCUCGUGACUCACAGAUACUUCCAAACAGUUGCAGGUGCCGAUGAGACAAGUGCAGGUGGCGCAGCUGAGCUCAAGUGGGAGCUCGAUGAAGAUCUUGUUCAUUACUAUGUUUCUUUUCAUGUUGAUCAGUAGUGGUGCCCAGUUGGGACGAUCGGGGAUCUAGCAGUUCGGUUGUCUUCUUUUAUUUUGGUUCCGUAGUCAGACCUAUGUGUGAACUCUGAUUGAUGUAUGACUUAUUUAUGUAUUGUGUGAAGUGGCGAUUGUAAGCCAACUCUUUAUCCCUUUCUUGUUCAUUACAUGGGAUUG